rnacentral:rRNA from 1 species
AUGUACAUUCCUACAACGUUAAUGCACAAGAUCCCAUUAGAAUCCCGUAAUGAAGUGCACUUGGGCUAGAGUAGUACUGGGAUGGGUGACCACUUGGGAACUCUUAGUAUUUUACAUG